CCUACGGGUGGCAGCAGUGAGGAAUAUUGGUCAAUGGGCGCGAGCCUGAACCAGCCAAGUCGCGUGAGGGAAGACGGCCCUACGGGUUGUAAACCUCUUUUGCCGGGGAGCAACGGGCGCCACGUGUGGCGCCACUGAGAGUACCCGGAGAAAAAGCAUCGGCUAAAUCCGUGCCAGCAGCCGCGGUAAUACUGAGGAUGCGAUCGUUAACCGGAUUUAUUGGGUUGAAAGGGUGCGUAGGCGGAGAGUUAAGUCAGUGGUCAAAUUGAGGGGAUCAACCCCUUCCCGCCAUUGAAACUGGCGCUCUUGAGUGGAAGAGAAGUAUGCGGAAUGCGUGGUGUAGCGGUGAAAUGCAUAGAUAUCACGCAGAACCCCGAUUGCGAAGGCAGCAUGCCGGCUUCCUACUGACGCUGAAGCACGAAAGCGUGGGGAUCGAACAGGAUUAGAUACCCGUGUAGUC
rnacentral:rRNA from 1 species